rnacentral:rRNA from 1 species
UACAGAGGGUGCUAGCGUUGUUCGGAAUGACUGGGCGUAAAGAGCUCGUAGGCGGUUAUAUCAGUCGAGCGUGAAAUCCCUGGGCUUAACCCAGGAACUGCGCUCGAUACUGUACAACUUGAGUUCAGGAGAGGAAAGCGGAAUUCCUAGUGUAGAGGUGAAAUUCGUAGAUAUUAGGAGGAACAUCAGAGGCGAAGGCGGCUUUCUGGACUGAUACUGACGCUGAGGAGCGAAAGCGUGGGGAGCAAACAGG